rnacentral:rRNA from 1 species
UACGGAGGGUGCAAGCGUUAUCCGGAUUCACUGGGCUUAAAGGGAGCGCAGGCGGAUUGGUAAGUCAGUGGUGAAAGGCUUAAGCUUAACUUGGGAACUGCCAUUGAUACUAUCAGUCUUGAAUGUUGUUGAGGUUUGCGGAAUGGGUCAUGUAGCGGUGAAAUGCAUAGAUAUUGCACAGAACACCAAUUGCGAAGGCAGCUCGCUAAGCUGUAACUGACGCUGAGGCACGAAAGUGUGGGUAGCAAACAGG